rnacentral:rRNA from 1 species
UACGGAGGGUGCGAGCGUUGUCCGGAAUCAUUGGGCGUAAAGGGCGCGUAGGUGGCCCAGCUAAGCGUGCGGUGAAAGCUCGGGGCUCAACCCCGAGUCGGCCGUGCGAACUACUGGGCUGGAGCACUGUAGAGGCAGGCGGAAAUUCCGGGUGUAGAGGUGAAAUUCGUAGAUAUCGGGAGGAACACCAGUGGCGAAGGCGGCGAUCUGGGAAGAUACUGACGCUGAGGUGCGAAAGCGUGGGGAGCAAACAGG